AGGGCUGGAGCUCAGUGGGACAGCAUCUGCUUUGCAUGUAUAAGGUCCCAGGUUCAACCCCUGACAGCUCCA